UUCUUUUGCUACUUUUAUACAAAAUGUUUCGAUUCGUAUUAUUGAGGAGUUAAAACUUGCUCAGAGUCUCAAAAUUUAAAACGCAUUAUUAUUCUUCUAAAAAAUUUACUCUUCGAUGCUACAUAUUACUACUAGUACUACUGAUUAUCGUAUGGAGGAGUUAAAGCUUGCUCGGAGUCUUGAAAUAUAAAAUUUUUAAUUAUUUUUUGAAAAAAUAACUCUUUGAUGCUACAUAUUACUACUACUACCACUGAUAAUCGUAUUGAGGAAUUAAAGCAUGCUCGGAGUCUCGAAAUAUAAAUUUUUUAAUUAUUUUUCGAAAAAAUAAUUCUUUGAUGCUACAUAUUACUACUAGUACUACUGAUUAUCGUAUUGAGGAGUUAAAGUUUGCUCGGAGUCUCCAAAUAUAAAACACUUAAUUAUUUUUGAAAAAAAUUAAUUCUCUCAUACUAGCAUAUAUUGCUAGUACUGCUAUUGAUUACCAAUCCCAAAACAGUCUGUAGUAGGGUAGUAGUAGCAUGUAGUUAAAGUAGUUGUAGUAAUGUUGGGAAAAGCAAUUAAUGGUGAUUCUUUGGAGCCAUUUUUUAACAGAUUGAUUCAUCAGUGUGACUUUUUAGCUGUGAUUUCCUAUGUCACUCAAUAAAUUCGAAUCCCACUUAGAUUUAAUUCAGCUUUGAUAGUGAUUGUGGUUAAGGAAACACAACACAAUAACACUAGGAGUAGCUGCAGAAAUUGCCUGCACUGCACUGUGAAGUCAUUUUCUUUCAUUACUCUCCACACAAACUGCCUUUUCUCAUCUUUUGCAUUUUCCAUGAUUUUUAUUCAAGAGUUCCAAGAAUUCUUCUACUCCCUCCGUCUCAAUUUAUAGGUUCAUUUUGGAAUAAACACACAUAUUAAGAAAAAAGUUGGUUGGAUGGAAUCUUAUCACAUGUAUCAUUAAUUAGUGCAUUGAUAAGUGAGAAUAUUGUUGAGUUUCAAAAAAAUCACAAUAAAUAUAGGGAUUUAGUGCAUUGAGAAAUGAGAAUAAUGUUGAGUUUCAAAAAAAUCACAAUUAAUAUGUAGAUAAAUUUGUAUUGAAAAAAGAGAGGGACAAGUAUUUUGGGACAAAUUUUUUUUCCAAACUGGACAUAUAAAUUGAGACGGAGGGAGUACUACUCUUCUAUUAUCCCCAACAGUGUAAAAUUCAAAUUUGAUGACUUUAUGGAGAAAUGGAUUGGUUUGUUGACUAAUUAAAAGUGAAAUCAGAUGGUGGGCUGGGAGAGUAUUUUAGUGGGGCUUAAUUUAAAAUGCUACUCCCUCCGUCCCUAUUUAUCUGUCCACUUUGGGACUAAAAAGUUGUCCCAAUUUAUCUGUCCAUUUAUACAAUCAAAGCAAAAAAUUUCACUUUUACCCUUGUUUAGGUUUACAAUGCGACUCUUAAAAGUUAAACAUGUUCAGUUUAAUGCUCAUAACUAAUCUAAAGAACUGGAGAGGUCUUUGACUUUACUAUCUUCUAGGAAUAAACAUUAUGGCUAUUAAUCCCCUACUGAUACUCUUUGAGUAUAUAAACUCUUGUAUCACCAUUCUUCUACCAUCAUCGAUCCAGAAUUUUAGUUCAACUAAGCUAAAAGCUGACAACGGUGGGCAACAAAGAGCUGGUUUGGAGUUCGAUUUGAACGAGUUGUCGACGCCUGAGAUGGACUUGGCUUUAAGCGAAUCAGUCUCGGAAAUUAUAUAUAUUUUCGCGGCUAUUUACUUUCCUCUUGUUUUGCCGUAUCUUUGAUAAGAGAAUUUUGCAAUAUGUAAAGAUGUUUUUGUUCUAGCAAUGUUAUUACAACUCAAAUCGGAAUGAGACUUUGAUCUUAGUUAUAUAAGUGCUAUGAAUGAUCUUGAUUUC